UACGGAGGGUGCAGGCGUUAUCCGGAAUCAUUGGGUUUAAAGGGUCCGCAGGCGGUCUUAUAAGUCAGUGGUGAAAUCUCUCGGCUUAACCGAGAAACUGCCAUUGAUACUGUAGGACUUGAAUUUGGUCGAAGUGGGCGGAAUAUGACAUGUAGCGGUGAAAUGCAUAGAUAUGUCAUAGAACACCGAUAGCGAAGGCAGCUCACUAGGCCAACAUUGACGCUCAUGGACGAAAGCGUGGGGAGCAAACAGG
rnacentral:rRNA from 1 species